rnacentral:piRNA from 1 species
UCCCUGAUGCUCAAACCUCACACAGAGGC